rnacentral:rRNA from 1 species
AACGAACGCUGGCGGCAGGCCUAACACAUGCAAGUCGAGCGAGACCUUCGGGUCUAGCGGCGGACGGGUUAGUAACGCGUGGGAACGUGCCCUUCUCUGCGGAAUAGCCACUGGAAACGGUGAGUAAUACCGCAUACGCCCUUCGGGGGAAAGAUUUAUCGGAGAAGGAUCGGCCCGCGUUAGAUUAGAUAGUUGGUGGGGUAACGGCCUACCAAGUCUACGAUCUAUAGCUGGUUUUAGAGGAUGAUCAGCAACACUGGGACUGAGACACGGCCCAGACUCCUACGGGAGGCAGCAGUGGGGAAUCUUAGACAAUGGGCGCAAGCCUGAUCUAGCCAUGCCGCGUGUGUGAUGAAGGUCUUAGGAUCGUAAAGCACUUUCGCCAGGGAUGAUAAUGACAGUA